ensembl:lncRNA
CUCUCACUGGAGGUUGCUCAUUCACUUGAUUCCCACAUACCACGAAGGCAGGUGGAUGGACAGUCUUCAUGCUGCCACUGCUGCUUCUAGACAUCACUCCUCCUCCCUUAUAAAAACAAAAAACACAAACAAAAAUCCAACAGCAACCAGUCCUGAGGUUUGUGACAUCACAGUCGUCUAUACAUGUUGACUUAAUUCCUCAAACCAAGUUCCCCCCAUCCUAACAGGGACCCUCAUCAGUCCAAAGUCUGAUUCCAUCCAUCAAUAAUUUCUCCUCGGGGUUUCACAGAAUCCAUUUCAGGGUAACAUUUGAGAAUGGCCUGCUGAGAACUGAUUUGUCUGGUCCAGGUAGCAUGAGAGCUGUGCAUGUGGAAAACAAUUAGGACCAGAGAGCUUCUUCCCACACAAUCAGAGAGCAGGGAAACAAAGGAUCAAACAAUGAUUUUCUUCUGAGAACUAAAAGCAGGACACUGAAAGCCUGCCUUCACUUGGUGCAUUUUUAAAUGACUCUUCUGCUACUUAAAAGGUUUUAGCCUACUUCCUGCUCUGAAACUCUCAGGAACUAGAGCCAGACCCUACGUACCACAUAUAUCCUGAAAGAACUGCAAUUCCAGAAGAGGUUUUCAAUCCAUUAGAACACUGCAUCCUGCAGACUAUCAUCUCUCUGUGGACAAAGAUCAACUUUGUCUUAUUCAUUAUUGCAGACUCAGUGCCUAGCACAGUGCUUGAUACCAAAGGAUGCCUCAAAGCAUAUUUGUUGAAUGAAUGUUUUUAAAAUAUUUUCUUAGAGUCAGGAUUAGCCUAAGCAGAAACUGAAGUGAGUUCAGGGUUAGCGAAAAUUACAUUUUACCAUAGUUAGGUAUUAAGUUUUUAAAUUUGCUAUGACUAUAUGUUAUUUAGACAAAUAACUUUACUGUUUUAACUAGUUUUAAAAAUGGCCAAAUUAACACAUGGUAUUACCUUGAACACGGUUAUUCACAUGUAGGAGAAAGAAGCUGAAUCCAGACAGUACCAUCUACCUAGUGCAACUGAUGUGGAUCAAAGAUAGACUGCAAAGGAGGGAAUCAACAGCUCUGGAACACCACCCUUGCAAACCUACACCUAUGACGUGGCGGCAAUUGUUCCAUGAGGAGUUGAUCCCAACCACUCCCAGGAAUUGUCCUGCAGGACAGUCAUUUGGUAGCAGGGCUGGGAGGAAAACAGGAGCAGCCAUGUUGAAACCUCACAGCCAGUGACUGGACUAGGAGAACCGGCACCAGAGGAGUCUCCCAUGAUGCCAUGUUCUGAGGCACUUCAGACUGGCGCCACCAGGAGGCCCAAUUCAAUCAAAGUUGCUUUUGUGCUACUCUUCCUGUCAUUAGUUUACAACAUGUCACUGGUCCUUGUGCUACACAGACAGGUAAAUUCAAAUAUUUCACUGGCUCUUUCCUAUCCUGUCAGCUCUUCAGCUCUCUGCCAUCUCCCCAGUGAAGAGCUCUGUAGAUUCUCCAGAAUGAACAGGAAAUAAUAAUUGUAAAAAUGUUUUAAAUAAGUAAAGUCCUGGCAGGUUUCAUGUGCUCUCCCCCUCAGUAUCAGAUUCUCUCAUUAACCUUCACAGGGUCAAAACUGGGAAAUAAAACUUAGAAAAUCUUCUAAGGAAAUGAGAUUAUUUUUAGCAGAAAGAGCCACAUAACAAUGUCUUUCAAGUGUAGGAAUGGCUUUCACACAGUGAAGAGCUACUUUUCAUCUCCUCUAAACAAACAACAAGAAGAGCCCAGUUUUAGUUGAAACUUGAGGAAUUUAACUUCGAUAAUAUUACUUUUGGUUCUCUGAUAUUCCUUCCGUGGAAUUUUUUUUUUUAAGUAGGGUAGAUUCUCAUCUUUCUGAAAUGCUUUUAAACAAUUCAGCCUGAAUGCAGAAGAUGGAGCAAAUGGUCUUUUAAAGACUCCUCAUCUUCAAGAUGUUGGACAUGCAGGAGCUUCAAGAGGAAACUGUAUUUUG